ACAACUGCAGUCUUUGCAACUUGUUUAUCACAGCCUCAAUCUAGUAUGAUUCCCAACAAAUCAAUUAAAUUUAUUAUUAUUUUUUUUUAUAAUUGAGUUCCAUUAGAAUUCAAACUCGAGAUCUCACAAUCUUUGAGAUCACUUCAAGUACUAUUGAAUUAAAACUUAUUAAUUAACUUUAUUAAGUUUUAGUGCUGCAUAAACAACACUUGUAUUCGCAUGUCAUUGAGUUGUACAUAAAUUUUCUUUCCAUUCAAUAAAAAUUUUCUUUUCUAUCAAUAUAUUUUUUUCAAUAUGCAUGUGCUAUAAGAGUUUCAAUGAUUCUAGAGGGUCUGUGAAUAAAAGUUUUAUUUGUUA
rnacentral:misc_RNA from 1 species